AUUGAACGCUGGCGGCAGGCCUAACACAUGCAAGUCGAGCGGAUGAGGGGAGCUUGCUCCCUGAUUUAGCGGCGGACGGGUGAGUAAUGCCUAGGAAUCUGCCUGGUAGUGGGGGACAACGUUUCGAAAGGAACGCUAAUACCGCAUACGUCCUACGGGAGAAAGUGGGGGAUCUUCGGACCUCACGCUAUCAGAUGAGCCUAGGUCGGAUUAGCUAGUUGGUGAGGUAAAGGCUCACCAAGGCGACGAUCCGUAACUGGUCUGAGAGGAUGAUCAGUCACACUGGAACUGAGACACGGUCCAGACUCCUACGGGAGGCAGCAGUGGGGAAUAUUGGACAAUGGGCGAAAGCCUGAUCCAGCCAUGCCGCGUGUGUGAAGAAGGUCUUCGGAUUGUAAAGCACUUUAAGUUGGGAGGAAGGGCAGUAAGUUAAUACCUUGCUGUUUUGACGUUACCAACAGAAUAAGCACCGGCUAACUUCGUGCCAGCCGCCGCAGUAAAUC
rnacentral:rRNA from 1 species